rnacentral:sRNA from 1 species
AUUAGUUAAACUAGUGAUUCCUGCAAAAAAAAAUUCUAUAUAUGCUCGACCAAAUCAGAUUUCAAAUAUUGAUGCGCACAUCGAUCAUGAAGUCGAGUUCUAGUGUCCAACAUAUUUUCAAGAUUUUAAAGCAUAUAUGUAGAACAUGUGAACUCCACGUGUGAACUUGUUGUUGAUUCCAUUUGUACGAAUUCGAAUACAUCAAAUAGAUUGUACACAUCUCGUUCUUCUUCUACUAUCAUAUUAUUAAGUAUUAUACAUGCUUGCAUAAUAUUUGAUAUUUUUAUCUUAUCUCAAAUAAAAACUGAAUUUUUUACAAUGGCAAAUCGAGGUUGCAAAACUCCAAAAGAACACUCGACAUCUAUACGGCAAGCUUUUUGAUUGGAUGCAAAUAAAGUUGCUUUUCGACUUUGUGGAAUUGAAAUAGAUCGGAUAAAUUCAUCAAUUAGAGUGGCCAAAUCGAUGUGUGCAACCAGCGUUGGUGGAGAUGGAUGGCAGGAGGUCAUAAAAUCGGUGACAUCGAUGAUUGGUUUCGAUUUCAAGCGAAUCGAUUCCGGUGUCGCGUUGUGUGAAAGAGAGAGAGGAAGAAGAAACAAAAGAAAAAAGAAACACUCAAUUAUAAAAUACCACAACUCUUAGGGUUUUAGUUUGACUUUUAUAUAAGAGUCAUAUUUCAUAUAAUCAAUAA